rnacentral:rRNA from 1 species
ACGUUAGCGGCGGACGGGUGAGUAACACGUGGGUAACCUACCUAUAAGACUGGGAUAACUCCGGGAAACCGGGGCUAAUACCGGAUAACACAUGAAACCGCAUGGUUUCAUGAUGAAAGACGGUUUUGCUGUCACUUAUAGAUGGACCCGCGGCGUAUUAGCUAGUUGGUAAGGUAACGGCUUACCAAGGCAACGAUACGUAGCCGACCUGAGAGGGUGAUCGGCCACACUGGAACUGAGACACGGCCCAG